ACCUGACAUGCUGUUGUUGUGUCUGUAGUCCCAGCUACUCUGGAGAUUGAGGCAGGAGAAUUGCUUGAGUUGGGGAAUUUGGUGCUAGCCUGAGCAAUGUAGUGAGACUCUGUCUCUU
rnacentral:sRNA from 1 species